GAGCGCUACCUGCGGUGGAGGCGCUGGUGGGAUACCGCCCUGACUGUAAUGAAAUUCUAACCAACGGGUCUUAUCGACCCGGGAGACAGUGUCAGGAGGGCAGUUUGACUGGGGCGGUCGCCUCCUAAAGUGUAACGGAGGCGCCCAACGGGUCCCUCAGAAUGGUGGGAAAUCAUGCGUAGAGUGCCAAGGCAUAAGGGAGCUUGACGUCGCGACCUACAAGGCGCGCAGGGACGCAA
rnacentral:rRNA from 1 species